CAGUAACGGCGAGUGAAGCGGCAACAGCUCAAAUUUGAAAUCUGGCUCCUUCGGGGUCCGAAUUGUAAUUUGUAGAGAGUGCUUCGGGCGAGACCUCGGUCUAAGUCCAUUGGAACAUGGUGUCAUAGAGGGUGAGAAUCCCGUAUGCGACCGUGGCUCGAGCCCAUGUGAAGCCUCUUCGACGAGUCGAGUUGUUUGGGAAUGCAGCUCAAAACGGGUGGUAAAUUUCAUCUAAAGCUAAAUACUGGCUGGAGACCGAUAGCGCACAAGUAGAGUGAUCGAAAGAUGAAAAGCACUUUGGAAAGAGAGUCAAACAGUACGUGAAAUUGUUGAAAGGGAAGCGCUUGCAACCAGACCUGCCCGUAGGCGAUCAGCCGCUGUUCUCAGCGGUGCACUCGCUCUGCGAUCAGGCCAGCAUCGGUUUCGGCGGUCGGAUAAAGGCCUUGGGAAUGUAGCUUCCCUUCGGGGGAGUCUUAUAGCCCUCGGUGUAAUGCGGCCAGCCGAGACCGAGGACCGCGCUUCGGCUAGGAUGCUGGCGUAAUGGUUGUAAGCGACCCGUCUUGAAACACGGACCAAGGAGUCUAACAUCUAUGCGAGUGUUUGGGUGUCAAACCCAUACGCGGAAUGAAAGUGAACGGAGGUGAGAACCCUUAAGGGCGCAUCAUCGACCGAUCCAGAUGUCUUCGGAUGGAUUUGAGUAUGAGCAUAGCUGUUGGGACCCGAAAGAUGGUGAACUAUGCCUGAAUAGGGUGAAGCCAGAGGAAACUCUGGUGGAGGCUCGCAGCGGUUCUGACGUGCAAAUCGAUCGUCAAAUUUGGGUAUAGGGGCGAAAGACCAAUC
rnacentral:rRNA from 1 species